CCUGUGUCCAUCCCAUAUCCCUCCCAUAUCCCUCCCGUGUCCCUCCCGUGUCCAUCCCAUGUCCAUCCCGUGUCCCUCCCAUGUCUCUCCCGUGUUUCCCCGUGUCCCUCCCAUGUCCAUCCCAUAUCCCUCCCAUGUCCCUCCCAUGUCCCUCCCGUGUCCUGUGUCCAUCCCGUGUUUCCCCGCGUCCCUGCCGUGUUCCUCCUGUGUCCAUCCCGUGUCCCUCCCAUGUCCAUGCCAUGUUUCCCUGUGUCCCUCCCAUGUCCAUCCCGUGUCCCUCCUGUGUCCAUCCCGUGUCCAUCGCAUGUCCCUCCCAUGUGUCCCCAUGUCCCUCCCGUGUCCCUCCCGUGUUUCUCCCAUGUCCAUCCCGUGUUUCCCCGGGUCCCUCCCGUGUCUCCCCAUGUCCCUCCCGUGUCCCUCCUGUGUCCAUCCCGCAUGUCCCCGUGUCCAUCCCAUGUCCCUCCCAUGUCCCUCCCAUGUCCCUCCCGUGUUUCCCCGUGUCCCUCCCGUGCCCAUCCCAUGUUUCCCCAUGUUUCCCCGUGUCCCUCCCGUGUCCAUCCCAUGUCCCUCCCAUGUCCCUCCCAUGUCCCUCCCGUGUCUCCCCGUGUCCCUCCUGUGUCCCUCCCAUGUCCAUGCCAUGUCCAUCCCGUGUUUCCCCGUGUCCAUGCCAUGUCCCUCCCAUGUCCAUGCCAUGUUUCCCCAUGUCCCUCCCGUGUCCCUCCCGUGUCCCUCCGUGUCCCUCCCGUGUCCCUCCCGUGUCCAUCCCAUGUCCCUCCCAUGUCCAUCCCAUGUCCCUCCCAUGUCCCUCCCAUGUCCCUCCCAUGUCCCUCCCGUGUCCCCCCGUGUCUCCCGCGCCCAUGGCGUGUCGCGUGUCCCCGCAGCGGAUCCGGGCGGGCUCGCUCAUGUCCCGCGUGCCGCUGGUGGCGGUGGGGGACGUGCUGGAGGCGCUGGACGGGCGCAGCCUGGUGGGCGCGCGGCACUUCGAGGUGGCGCGGCUGCUGCAGG
rnacentral:lncRNA from 1 species